GCCUGACGGAGCAAUACCCGCGUGAGGGAUGAAGGCCUGUGGGUUGUAAACCUCUUUUCUCAAGGAAGAAAUUUUGACGGUACUUGAGGAAUAAGCAUCGGCUAACUCUGUGCCAGCAGCCGCGGUAAUACAGAGGAUGCAAGCGUUAUCCGGAAUCACUGGGCAUAAAGCGUCUGUAGGUGGCUUAGCAAGUCUGCUGUUAAAGACUAGGGCUUAACCCUAGGAAAGCAGUGGAAACUAGUAAGCUUGAGUGUGGUAGAGGUAGAGGGAAUUCCUGGUGUAGCGGUGAAAUGCGUAGAUAUUAGGAAGAACACCAAUGGCGAAAGCACUCUACUGGGCCAUAACUGACACUAAGAGACGACAGCUAGGGGAGCAAAUGGGAUUAGAUACCCCAGUARGUCA
rnacentral:rRNA from 1 species